rnacentral:rRNA from 1 species
GACGAACGCUGGCGGUAUGCUUAACACAUGCAAGUCGAACGAGACGAGAUGGAAGUGCUUGCACGGAAAUCUUAGAAAGUGGCGAACGGGUGAGUAACGCGUGGGUAACCUGCCCUAUGGAAAGGAAUAGCCUCGGGAAACUGGGAGUAAUGCCUUAUAAUAUAAAGAAGUCGCAUGGCUUUUUUAUUAAACGCUCCGGUGCCAUAGGAUGGACCCGCGUCCCAUUAGCUAGUUGGUGAGAUAACAGCUCACCAAGGCGACGAUGGGUAACCGGUCUGAGAGGGCGAACGGUCACACUGGAACUGAGACACGGUCCAGACUCCUACGGGAGGCAGCAGUGGGGAAUAUUGCGCAAUGGGGGAAACCCUGACGCAGCAAUACCGCGUGAGUGAAGAAGGUUUUCGGAUCGUAAAGCUCUGUUAUUGGGGAAGAAAAAAAGACGGUACCCAAGAAGAAAGUCCCGGCUAACUACGUGCCAGCAGCCGCGGUAAUACGUAGGGGACAAGCGUUGUCCGGAUUUACUGGGCGUAAAGGGCACGCAGGCGAUUUUUUAAGUCAGAUGUGAAAGGUACCGGCUCAACCGGUGACAUGCAUUUGAAACUGAAAGACUUGAGUAUUGGAGAGGCAAGUGGAAUUCCCAGUGUAGCGGUGAAAUGCGUAGAUAUUGGGAAGAACACCGGUGGCGAAGGCGACUUGCUGGGCAGCAACUGACGCUGAGGCGCGAAAGCCAGGGGAGCAAACGGGAUUAGAUACCCCGGUAGUCCUGGCCGUAAACGAUGAAUGCUAGGUGUGGGUGUAGAGAUACAUUCGUGCCGGAGUUAACGCGAUAAGCAUUCCGCCUGGGGAGUACGGUCGCAAGAUUGAAACUCAAAGGAAUUGACGGGGGCCCGCACAAGCGGAGGAACAUGUGGUUUAAUUCGAUGAUACGCGAGGAACCUUACCUGGGCUUAAAUGGGGAGUGACAGCUGCUGAAAGGUGGUUUUCUUCGGACACUCUUCAAGGUGCUGCAUGGUUGUCGUCAGCUCGUGCCGUGAGGUGUCGGGUUAAGUCCCAUAACGAGCGCAACCCUUACUGUUAGUUGCCAGCGGGUAGAGCCGGGAACUCUAACGGGACUGCCACCGUAAGGUGAGAGGAAGGUGGGGAUGACGUCAAAUCAGCACGGCCCUUAUGUCCAGGGCUACACACGUGUUACAAUGGCCGGUACAAAGGGCAGCUACCCCGCGAGGGGAUGCUAAUCUCGAAAGCCGGUCUCAGUUCGGAUCGAAGUCUGCAACCCGACUUCGUGAAGUUGGAUUCGCUAGUAAUCGCGCAUCAGCCAUGGCGCGGUGAAUACGUUCCCGGGCCUUGUACACACCGCCCGUCAAGCCAUGGGAGCCGGGGGUACCUGAAGUCUGCAACCGCGAGGAGCGGCCUAGGGUAAAACUGGUGACUGGGGCU